UUCCAGACUCCUACGGGAGGCAGCAGUGGGGAAUAUUGCACAAUGGGGGGAACCCUGAUGCAGCAACGCCGCGUGAGUGAAGAAGUAUUUCGGUAUGUAAAGCUCUAUCAGCAGGGAAGAAAAUGACGGUACCUGACUAAGAAGCUCCGGCUAAAUACGUGCCAGCAGCCGCGGUAAUACGUAUGGAGCAAGCGUUAUCCGGAUUUACUGGGUGUAAAGGGAGCGCAGGCGGUACGGCAAGUCCGAUGUGAAAGCCCGGGGCUCAACCCCGGGACUGCAUUGGAAACUGCCGCACUAGAGUGCCGGAGAGGUAAGUGGAAUUCCUAGUGUAGCGGUGAAAUGCGUAGAUAUUAGGAGGAACACCAGUGGCGAAGGCGGCUUACUGGACGGUAACUGACGCUGAGGCUCGAAAGCGUGGGGAGCAAACAGGAUUAGAUACCCGUGUACC
rnacentral:rRNA from 1 species